rnacentral:rRNA from 1 species
UACGUAGGGGGCAAGCGUUGUCCGGAUUUAUUGGGCGUAAAGAGCGUGUAGGCGGCCAUGUAGGUCCGUUGUGAAAACUCGAGGCUCAACCUCGAGACGCCGGUGGAAACCAUCUAGCUAGAGUCCGGAAGAGGAGAGUGGAAUUCCUGGUGUAGCGGUGAAAUGACGCAGAUAUCAGGAAGAACACCCGUGGCGAAGGCGGCUCUCUGGGACGUGACUGACGCUGAGACGCGAAAGCGUGGGGAGCGAACAGG